ensembl:misc_RNA 7SK 7SK RNA
GGAUGUGAGGGCGACCUGGCUGCGACAUCUGUCACCCCAUUGAUCACCAGGGAUGAUUCGGUUGAUCUGGCUGGCUGGGCGGGGGGUCCCCUUCCUCCCUCACUGCUCCAUGUGCAUCCCUACCGAAGCUGCAUGCUGGAUCGAAGGGGACGACCACCCCGAUGGAGGAGGACCAUUUCCUCCAGCAGGGUUACACGAGUAGCUGCACUCCCCUGCUAGCAUUUCCAAACAAGCUCACCAGAGUCUUUUUUCUUUUGCACCUCUUUGCAGAGCAUCGGCUGCGAUGACUACCUGGGCUCCGACAAAGUUGUGGACAAGUGUGGGGU